CUUUUGUGUGAAAGACAGCUCAGUGGGUAGAGCAUGAGACUCUUAAUCUCAGGGUUGUGGGUUCGAGCCCCACGUUGGCAAAAGA